rnacentral:rRNA from 1 species
AACGAACGCUGGCGGCAUGCCUAAUACAUGCAAGUCGAACGAACACUUCGGUGUUAGUGGCGCACGGGUGCGUAACGCGUGGGAAUCUACCCUUGGGUUCGGAAUAACUUCGGGAAACUGAAGCUAAUACCGGAUGAUGACGUAAGUCCAAAGAUUUAUCGCCCAGGGAUGAGCCCGCGUAGGAUUAGCUAGUUGGUGGGGUAAAGGCUCACCAAGGCUACGAUCCUUAGCUGGUCUGAGAGGAUGAUCAGCCACACUGGGACUGAGACACGGCCCAGACUCCUACGGGAGGCAGCAGUAGGGAAUAUUGGGCAAUGGGCGAAAGCCUGAUCCAGCAAUGCCGCGUGAGCGAUGAAGGCCUUAGGGUUGUAAAGCUCUUUUACCCGAGAUGAUAAUGACAGUAUCGGGAGAAUAAGCCCCGGCUAACUCCGUGCCAGCAGCCGCCGUAA